AUUCAAUACCCAUUUUAACUUAACAUGCGAGUCUUCGUCUUCGUUCGCCCUCAAUUUUCCUCUUCUCAUCCCUCGAGUCAAUAACCAGAGCUUACAGCGCUACGGAUGGGGAUUCGAAUCCAGAUUCUUGUAAUACAUGAACAACUUCACACUAGUUUCAUAUCAAUUCUACUUUUAGUCAACGAAUUCCAUCAAUUUCUACACUGGUUCCAUCCAAAAAACGAAUUCUCAACUGUUUGUUUGCUAAUUCGACUGAGUUGAUUCAAUUGAUUGGGUUUCCUAUGACGUUCAAUACAACGACAAGUAGAAGUUGUAAGAGGAUAUGCGUGAAAAUUUGGACGAGAAAACAAGGAUCAAGAUUUGGUUAUUGUCGUUUAUAUAAGGAGUGAAAGUGAACGGAGAUGAUUGGAAUUGUUCUAUGUCGUUGUUUUUAGAAGUUAAAUAUGGUUAAAACAUUGAGUUUGUAUCGGAUUUGUGUUGUGUAGGGAAGGACUUUAUUUGGGUAGUCUCCAAAGUGCAGCACUUAUUUGGGUACCCAACCAUCAUCAAUUGCAAGACGCCUUCAAUUACAGAAGAAUAUCGGCCAUGUGCUGCUUUUGUAGGAAAAAGAACAAUAUGUUACAUCAUCCACUGAGUUUGCAAGAGUUUACAUGGACAAUCAGCCUUCCAAAGUAUAUUCUCCAUCAAGUUUUCAUAGUCAAGCACUCAGGGAAGACAUGGGGAAAUUUAGUUAAUAUACCGUUCACGUUCAGCCAAAGUCACACAGACUGUCUGACCUUCCGAAAAAGCUUCAGCCGAAUAUAGCUCGUGCCUUCAUUAAGGUAUUGCAUAAACUUGUUUACCAGAGUUCUCUUCUAUUAGUAUGUGAUUUCUGUAACAUUGAAAUUACUAUACUAUUUAAGCAUAUGCGGCAAAGAUCUGAAAUGUUUCCCUUUAAACGAGUGUAUCUAAUUUCUUAAUACAUGAUACUCCGUUUGGAUAUAUCUCAUUUGCGAGUAACUUGUAUAAGUACUACUUUAAGUUGAAACUGAUCUUGUUGUGUGUUUAGGAUCUGUUAGGAAUUAGGAUUCUUAUUUUAGCAGUUGUAUCAAUAGUAUUUACUUUAUGUUUAAAUACAUACCUUAUCUAAA